rnacentral:lncRNA from 1 species
AUUUCAUUUCAUCCCCUCUGCAGAGUUAUGACUGAGUGAACUUGAUCUCAGAUUCUGUUCCCAACUCUGAGUGUUGCAGAAUUAGUUCCAGUUGCCUGCCUUCCCUUUGGUAUUCACUUGACUCAGAGAAGAGGCCAGAUCUAAUUUUUCACUCAUCUGGGGGGAUUAAGAAACCACUACUCUAUUCCAGAAGAUUCCUGA